GCCUGCAAGAGCUGCUGAACAUGUUGAAAACAGUAGAGAGCCAUUUCAAGGGUGAAAAGGCUCCAGUACUUCUUGUUGAUAAGAUCAAUAAGAAGAAGAUGAAGAAGAGUUUUAAGAAAAAGAUGAAUCCUAAGGCUGGCAUCUCUAAGAAAAAGAUGAAGAACAUCUCCACCAAAGGUACUUGCUAUCACUGUGGCAAGGAGGGCC
rnacentral:lncRNA from 1 species